rfam:Rattus norvegicus chromosome 8, whole genome shotgun sequence.
GGGGAUUUAGCUCAGUGGUAGAGCGCUUGCCUAGCAAGCACAAAGCCCUGGGUUCGGUCCUCAGCUCCG